UUGGUUUCUGAGUAAUAAUGAAGUCACUUAUUAAUGGGGGCAUCAAUAAAGACCAGGAAACUAGGAAAAGAAUGUGAAGAGCAGAAGAGGGUGGUUGAUGAUAAUGUGAAGAAAUAAAAGGAACAUAAUCCAGAUUAAGAAAAUCAAUGGACUGUGUUUGUGGGUGGGGGUUAAGAAUUGAAACUAUAUAAAGAAGCCUUACAUCUUGAGCAGGAGUGCCUCCGCUUUUGACUAUUAGUCCCAUUUAAAGAAGCGAGUAAAGAAAGGGGGUUCACUUCCUUCCGUGAUAAUGUACACCGGAGCUUCAGAAGAUAGAUUUUCCAGAAGAAAAUCAUGUUUUAGAAAUUUCUGUUGCAAUAAGAAAGAAAAUUACCAAUAAUGAGAAUCAUAGUUUGUCGAGAAGACAAUGAUGAAUGAACCUGGAAAACUUUUAGUAUCA